rnacentral:lncRNA from 1 species
AAAUUUCAAGACUUCAGCGAAAAGAAAAAUAUUUAAAAAAUACAAAAACAACUGCAAAACGGCAAAUUUUCGGUAAUUAUGUUUGUAAUUUUUCAAAAUUUCCCUUUUAGCUAAAGUCUUGAAAUUUCUACACCAAAUAGCGUUUUUCACUAGCUUCAAUUUGAUAUGUAGCCCAACGUUCAGUGUUGAGUAUUUCUGCUCAUAACUCAGAAAAACUAAAAUGCACUGGCUUCAAUUCCCCCCCCUGAGUUAGCCUUCCAGUUUAUUUAUAGUUCAAUGGCCAA